AUCCUCCAAGAAGGUCCAAAAUGUUUGGGGGUUAAAAACAACUACAAAGUCUCUUGGUGGAGUUCUGAAUAAAAUCUCCUUCAAAUCUUCGGUGUGCACACCCUUUGUUGAAGAAAAUAAACACAAACUCACUCCACUAAUAUCUCCAGAGGAAGAGGAUCCCUUUAAAGUUGAUGACAAACUUGACAGAUGCUUCAGACAGAGGGCUGGGAGCCAUGCUCUCGCAGGUGGUGGAGGGGGAGGAGCGCCCGGUGCUGUACAUUAGCCGUAAACUCUCGUUGAGGGAAACUAAGUGCAGCACCGUGGAAAAGGAGUGUCUCGCCAUCAAGUGGGCGGUCCUCACUCUCCGAUAUUACCUGUUAGGGCGGGCCUUCACCCUCUGUUCCGAUCACACCCCGCUCCAGUGGCUCCACUGCAUGAAAGAUACCAACGCGCAGAUCACCUGUUGGUAUCUGGCUCUUCAGCCGUUUAAGUUCAAGGUGGUCCACAGACCGGGGGCACAGAUGGCUGUCGCCGACUAAAAGGAGUGCUCAGUAAUGUUUCAGAGUGUGGUACUCAAAACAUGGGCUA